UACGGAGGAUGCGAGCGUUAUCCGGAUUUAUUGGGUUUAAAGGGUGCGCAGGCGGAAUGUCAAGUCAGCGGUAAAAUUUCGGGGCUCAACCCCGUCGAGCCGUUUGAACUGGCGCGCUUGAGUUCAGGCGAGGUAGGCGGAAUUCGUGGUGUAGCGGUGAAAUGCUUAGAUAUCGCGCAGAACCCCGAUUGCGAAGGCAGCGUACCGGCUCCACACUGACGCUGAGGCACGAAAGCGUGGGUAUCGAACAGG
rnacentral:rRNA from 1 species